CAGUGGUUCAGUUGGUUAGAACGCCGGCCUGUCACGCCGGAGGUCGAGGGUUCGAGUCCCUUCUG
rnacentral:tRNA from 1 species